GGUCCGCUUUGGGGAACUGCUAGCGCAGGCUCGGUUUGGUGUCUCAGCGGGCAGCCAGAGCCAGGGCCCAGCUGCAGGCGGGCACACGCAGCGGGAAGCGUUAACAUAACCGGAGCCGCACGGUGCCUCCGAGGGCGGGAGCGCUGGUGGCCGCCGACCCUGUUGCCGGGACAGCAGUCUUGUGUCAGACAUCUUCUCUUAGUGCGAUUGUUAAGCAGAUAAUCCAGAUUUCUCAAAUAAAAGGGCGAUCAGAACGCGGUAUAACCCCAGAACCAACUCACAGGACGUGGGCAGUUUUGGGGAAAACCUCAGCACUUUGCCAAAAUGGCUGCUGUCUCUGUUACGUAAUGAAAACCCGUAUUAGCCUGCCUUCAGGAAAGCACUAACCAGUACCUACUGAACUUCGAGGAGAGGUGCUUUCAAAGCUGCUAAAAAAUUCCCAAGCGAUGGCUCUGAGGUUUGGUGAGCUGCUUGAUGGUGGACCUAAAAGUGAUUUCCAUUGUUUUUGCCCAAAUGUUCAGCUCAAAUCUACUUGCUAAUGAGUCACAAAUAUCUCUGGGUACAUGGUUUGCGAUUAUUUUGCAUAAACGGUUAGGAAAAAACUAGAAAAGCUUGUAAGCCAGAUUCUAUUUUUAACCUUUCCUAGGGACUACUUUUGCUUCCCUCACAAAGGCUGCGGAGGGUUACUGAGUGCCAACAGUGUGAGUUGUCCCUCGCCCAUAAAUACGCCUCUCCCGGCUCUGCGGCAGGCAUUCAGGCAGCGAGCGCAGAGGUGACUGCUGAGGCUGAGGCGCUACUUGAGGAAACCAGAUAAGUCUAUUCUAUUAAAAAGAGAUAGAAAAUAAUAUUAUUUAGGAAAUGUAAAUAGCGAAGGUGCUUACUGAGAUAUUGCUUAGCAUUAAUAUUUUAACCUUUAUAACAAAGAUCUUAUUUAAGGGAAAAUAUAAUGAAGGCUUGCCUAAAAAGUAGUUUCAGAAAGGAAGAGAGAAGAAAAAUAUUUCCAGAACAUGAAACUUCUUUACGAAGUAAAAAUCAUUUUCAAGAAAAUGGCUGAUAGGAUUGCAAAAGCCUAAACUCAAAUGGAAGGGCAAACUAAAAAUACCAUUAAACCGUAGGUGACAAAAUUGUCAUUUAAAGAAAAUUGGAGAUGGUUAAACUAUAUAUUAAAUGCCGUAUUUAAAAGAGAAAAUUGAAGGUGACUUAAGAGAGACCUUCAAAUUCAUGACGCAGGAAAGAUUGUCCUGUGAAGCCAAAUUGCUCUUACGGCAUUAUUAGCGCAAGAUGGGGCAAUUGUUAAUUUAAAAGUCAGAUAAAAUUUUGGAGAAAGAUUAGAAAUUUGAAAUGGAAAACUUGGAAGACAGAAGUGUACAGGAAGGUGAAGAAAAAGGCUUAGAGAAGACAGAAAAAUAGAAGAUAAAACGUAUUUUAGAAGACAGAAAAACUAAGUCCAAAAGGUAGAAAGCAGAAGAGAAAGUAUUGAGACAAACUAACCAAAGCAACUAAGGGCACAGAUACAAAUGUAGAAAACCAGAAGAUAGAAAACGAAGAUACAGAUUUAAUAGAAAAUAGAAAAUGAGAAGAUAAAAUUUUUUAGCAGAAAAAUGGAAGAUAGAAAAUGAGAUACAGAUUAAGUAGAAAAAUAGAAAAUGAGAAGAUACAAACAGAUAAGUAGAAAAAUAGAAGAUAGAAAAUGAGAAGAUAAAAGUUAAGUAGAAAAACAGAAGAUAGAAAAAAUGAGACAGAUAAGUAGAAAAAUAGAAGAUAGAAAAUGAAGAUACAAGUUUAGAAAAAUAGAAGAUAGAAAAUGAGAAGAUAAAAGUUAAGUAGAAAAACAAGAUAGAAAGUGAGAAGUAAAAAAUAGAAGAUAGAAAAAUAGAAGACAGAUUAAGUAGAAAAAUAGAAGAUAGAAAAUGAGAAGAUACAAGUUAGAAAAGUAGAAGAUAAACGAGAAGAUACAAAUUUAGAAAACUAGAAGAUAGAA